CAGAGCUGCAGCUGUUGCGCAACUCCCGCGCCGGCGGCACGCGCAUCGGUCCCACGCCGCCACCGGCCACGGGCGCGCCUUACGGCCACAGUAAGUCGCCGACACAUUCCAGCCCAGUCCGCGCCGAGGUCGCCGCAGGCAUCUAGGCGCGUCUCGCUGUUCACAUCCGAGAGUUUUCUGCGAGUUGGGGUGUGUGGGAGCUGCGCCACGUUCCACUUCGGUGCACAGAAUCUGCGACGUGCUAUCUAAUCGGAAGUGACUCCCGGUUGCGCCCCAGGGUUUAGGCGUUUUGGACGGCUGGUCUGCUGCUUCCGGAAUUUUGAGUUAAGUCACCUUUUGCCCCGGGCAGCCUGGCGUCACUGCCCGUUUGGUAAACAUUUAGCGUGUUUCAUACAUAGGUUUUUGAUUUACUUGUGAAUGAAUUAUAUUAGAUUGUAAUUUCUUGUACUGCUUGUGUUAUUUGGGUUCUUAACGAACUGGUGUGCGUUUCUUAAAUCACUUUCAUAUUGCAACUUAUUGCUCCUUUAAAUAAAUUAUCUGUGGCAUUUCUUUAAAUCACUUUCUGAUUGUAAUUUAUUGUUCCUUUAUGUAUUGAAACCUCUGUGGCUCAUCUCUAAAAGUGAGUUUUGUAAUUGCAAUCUGCUGCCUUGCUUGAGAAGCAGGCAAUCUGUGAUAUUUUGGUAUUACCUUAAAGAUGGCCACGUGUUGAUUGUCUCUUAGCUGUUUUACAAAUAUUGUCUUUGAAUAAAUUGUUAAUUUAUUGA